UAAAACAUGCAAGUUAAACGAGACCUUAGGGUCUAGUGGCAGACGGGUGAGUAACGGGUGGGAAUCUGCCCUUUGGUUAGGAAUAACUCAGGGAAACUGGUGCUAAUACCGAAUAAUGUCUUUGGGGGAAAGAUUUAUCGCCUUUGGAUGGGCCCGCGUUGGAUUAGCUAGUUGGUGGGGUAAAGGCCUACCAAGGCGACGAUCCGUAGCUGGUCUGAGAGGAUGAUCAGCCACACUGGGACUGAGACACGGCCCAGACUCCUACGGGAGGCAGCAGUCGCCCGCCGCGCCCCGC
rnacentral:rRNA from 1 species